GUGUUUAUAGUUUAAAUAAAACUUUAGUCUUGUAAACUAAAAAUUGGCAAGCCAUGAACACU
rnacentral:tRNA from 1 species